UUAGGCUUUUUUAUUUUUUAUUAUUUGCUACAGCUGUACAAGUGGUCUAAUUAGAUAUCACGUACCCUGAUAUAAGCAGGUUUGUAAGAUGCCGCUGGUGUGUUGAAGCCUUUCCGUGCGUCAUUGCCAGGGAUCGCCCCUUCCGUUUCGCUCCUCCCGCUUCCGCAUUUGCCCUGUUUGUUUGCAGGUAUGUGUUGUGUAGCUCAGCGCUUAUCCCUUAAUGACUUGAGGUAAACAUCACUUUAAACACUUCAUUUAUAGCUCUUGGAUCAUUCGUGUUGAUUAUCAUUUGUGACUGUUCCUGUAUCUAACCUUCCUCGGCAUAAUCUUGUGCCGGCCGCCGCCCUUGCGUGCACGCGAUCAGUGAAGACAUUCUAAGGUACGUGUUUGUUUGCAAGUAUGUGUUGUGUAGCCUAUCGCUUAUUGAAUGUGUGACGUGAAAUAAGUGUCUAAACAUUCGAUUCAUAGCUCUGGGAUGGCUCGUGAAUAAUUACUAUUCGUGGCUGCUCCUGCAUGUUCUCCUGUGUAAACUUGUGCUGGCUGCUGCGAUUGGGUGUGUGCGCUAUCGCAGUGACGUUGAAGGAGCCGAGGCUGCCGGCUGUCCAUUAGUAGGGCUCGAGUACGGUGGUGGGACUUCCGGAGUGCAGUGUGUUCACCAUUGAUGCCUGUGUGUGUAGUGUGGUGAGAGUGGAGCACCGGGUGUUUAAGGUUGCAGUGAUACCGGGGCUGUGUGCUCCUUAAUUAAUUUGGACUACCAUAGGCAUGCCUCGGUCUCCUUCAUAGUAACUCUUAGAUUUUCUAGCCUGAUGCCAUCGUACAUAAUUGAUUUUAAGAUUCCUGUUUUAAUAUAAUAAAGUUUUGUAUUUUUUGGUA